rnacentral:rRNA from 1 species
GAUGAACGCUGGCGGUAUGCUUAACACAUGCAAGUCGAACGGUCUCUUCGGAGAUAGUGGCGGACGGGUGAGUAACGCGUGAGAAUCUGCCUCUAGGUCGGGGACAACAGUUGGAAACGACUGCUAAUCCCGGAUGAGCCGGAAGGUAAAAGAUUUAUUGCCUAGAGAAGAGCUCGCGUCCGAUUAGUUAGUUGGUGGGGUAAUGGCUUACCAAGACGGCGAUCGGUAGCUGGUCUGAGAGGACGAUCAGCCACACUGGGACUGAGACACGGCCCAG